ACACACCUUGUAUAUAUAUAGGUUCAAUGGCAUGGUCCAUUAGAAAAAGGCUACACGAGCACAAAGGAGAUAGAGAAAGAUAGGGGUAACAUGGCACUAGCAGAAAGGCUGAAGGCAUUUGACGUUACACCGAAAUGGCAGGAAACAGAAGCAGUGAGUAUAAUAACUGACCUGCAAAAACUUAAGACAGAAGAAGCAAUAGAAAUUUUUGAUAAAAAAGCAAAGGGAAUGAAAGUUAUUAACUAUAACGACCUGCAAAAAAUAAGUUUAGCCUGGGAAUACUGUUGUAAAGAAGAAACACCCAUAAAAGAAUAAAGACUAGAAAAAGAUUAAAAAAAGGAUUUAAUGACAAGAUUAGAAUGAAAAGAAAAUAGUUAAAGAGGG
rnacentral:lncRNA from 1 species